GUUUACCGGAUGACGAACAACUUCUUGAAAAUUGAAAAUCGUUGAAAUUGAACACUUGAAAUCUUCAAUUCAACAACUUCACAAUGUUUCACGAAUUUGCAACAAUAAAUUAAGCACUUGCACUAGAAAGAUUGAAAGAGAGCUUGAGAGAGAUUGAGAGAUAUGUUUCACGAAUUUGCAACAAAAAUUAAGCACUUGCACUAGAAAGAUUGAAAGAGAGCUUGAGAGAGAUUGAUGAAUUUGUGAAUUAAAAUGAAAGAAUGAGGGGGUAUUUAUAGUUGAGAAAUGGGAAAUUCUGUAAUUAUAUAAAGUUUGGGGUUAAAUUAAAGUUUGGGGGCCAAAUGGCUAUUUUUGAAAAUUCCAA
rnacentral:lncRNA from 1 species